rfam:TPA: Bos taurus chromosome 3, whole genome shotgun sequence.
UCCCUGGGGUCUCAGACAGUAAAGAAUCUGCCUGCAAUGCAGGAGACCCAGGUUCCAUCCCUGGGCCGGGAA